rnacentral:lncRNA from 1 species
ACAUAUAAUCGAAUUAAUUGGUUACAGAUUAUCGAGUCACAAAUAAAAAAAUUUGUAAGUCACAGAUAAAAAAUUUAUAGGUCACAAAUUAUUUCAUUGGUGACAAAUAAAAAAAAUUACAAGCCAUAGGAUCACAUAUGUUCAAAUUUAUUGGUCAUAUAUUCUAAAUAGUUGGUCACAUGCACUGAAUACCUCCACCAUCGAUCCCGAUCCAGCACCAAUCUUGAUCACAAAUCACCAACGUACAAUUGUCGCUUGCACCACACCAUCAACUGCACUGCCCCAAUCUACAAUCUUCCACAAUUGCAACCACAACAUCGGCACACACCAUCGAACAAAUUGUGAGUCGAGGAAAUUUGUAACUAACCGGGAAAGAAGAGAAACAGAAAUUAACAAAAUAAGCAAGAGAAGAAGAGAAAACAAAAAUUAGCAAACAAAUAAAAGAAAGAGAAGAAUUACCAGUUGGCACCAUAUGGCCACCGCCGAAGUUGCUAAGAAGAAGACACAACCCAAUUCCUUUUAAUUUUGCCAUUCUUUGCCACUAGAUCUAUGUCGUCGAGACAUUGGACACUUAGCUUACAGUUCUUAUGGAUUUUGAAGGCCAAAUUUGCAGAAGAAUUUGGUUUGAAGAGAGGUUCGAAGGCAUGAUGGGCUUAUUAAUAUGGAGAUUAGUAUUAGAAAAAUUAUUGCCGGCUGUGAUGGCGCGACACUGUAGCAACUAUGCCGUUGCUCAGCUCUCACAUCUUCGACGGUGGCGACGCUCCUCAACAUUGACGAUUAUCGAUGGAGGGUAGAGAGGGAGGAGAAGUCAGCGUGGGAAUAGAGAGGGAGGAGAAGUCAGCGUGGGAAUAGAGAGGGAGGAGAAGUCAGCGUGGGAAUAGAGAGGGAGGAGAAGUCAGCGUGGGAAUAGAGAGGGAGGAGAAGUCAGCGUGGGAAUAGAGAGGGAGGAGAUUAUCGAUGGAGGGUAGAGAGGGAGGAGAAGUCAGCGUGGGAAUAGAGAGGGAGGAGAAGUCAGCGUGGGAAUAGAGAGGGAAAAGAGACGGGAUUGAAAAUUGAAAGGGGUGAAAUGAUUAGGGUUUUUAAUUGAAUUGGGGAUUGAUUAUAUAUACUACAUGAGUUUUACAUAAGUAAAUUUCAUCAUUGAAUUUGAAUUUGAAAGUUUAAGUACCUGAUUUUAUGUAAUUUUCCCAAUACUCUAUUUUGUCCAAAAUAUUUAAAAUACCAAUUUUUCAUGAACCUUGGCAACAUUUUGGUCACUACCAUUCCAAAGAAAAAACACACCUGGAAUUUGUACUGCUCUGCAACAAGAGCUUUGCGGAGGCAUCCGAGCACAAGUAAUGCAACUGAGGCUUCAACUCCAAACAGUUAACAAGAGAGCCAAAAAAAGAUCAUAUCUAAAUAAAUGAAUUUAAUGUGAAAUGUCAUUGAUUUGGAAAAGGAAAAGGGGAUUUGACAGUGAAAUUGUGAUGUUGCUGGGGCAAUGGCUACACUAUAUUGAUGUCUUGAGAUCACCACCUCAAGAUCAUCACAGUGAUACUAUCUUUCUUUACAUAAACACGAGAGAAUUUUCUUUACUUGUGAUUCUUAUUUCUCACAGAAUAGAAGUCAAAUUACCAAAUAUUGCUUCAUUAAG